rnacentral:rRNA from 1 species
CCUACGGGUGGCAGCAGUGAGGAAUAUUGGUCAAUGGGCUUACGCCUGAACCAGCCAAGUCGCGUGAGGGAAGACUGCCCUAUGGGUUGUAAACCUCUUUUGUCAGGGAGCAAUUGGCGCUACGUGUAGCGUUAUCGAGAGUACCUGAAGAAAAAGCAUCGGCUAACUCCGUGCCAGCAGCCGCGGUAAUACGGAGGAUGCGAGCGUUAUCCGGAUUUAUUGGGUUAAAAGGGUGCGUAGGCGGAUUGCCAAGUCAGCGGUAAAAUCGCGGGGCCAAACCGGGCUCCGCCGUUGAUACUGGCAGGCUAGAGUGGGGGAGAGGGAGGUGGAAUGCGAGGUGUAGCGGUGAAAUGCGUAGAGAUCAGGAGGAAUACCGAUGGCGAAGGCGGCCCCCUGGCCAAAGACUGACGCUGAGGUGCGAAAGCGUGGGUAGCGAACAGGAUUAGAUACCCCAGUAGUC